rnacentral:rRNA from 1 species
CAUGGCUGUCGUCAGCUCGUGUUGUGAAAUGUUGGGUUAAGUCCCGCAACGAGCGCAACCCUUAUCCUUUGUUGCCAGCGGUCCGGCCGGGAACUCAAAGGAGACUGCCAGUGAUAAACUGGAGGAAGGUGGGGAUGACGUCAAGUCAUCAUGGCCCUUACGAGUAGGGCUACACACGUGCUACAAUGGCGCAUACAAAGAGAAGCGAACUCGCGAGAGCAAGCGGACCUCAUAAAGUGCGUCGUAGUCCGGAUUGGAGUCUGCAACUCGACUCCAUGAAGUCGGAAUCGCUAGUAAUCGUAGAUCA